rfam:Brassica rapa chromosome A8, whole genome shotgun sequence.
GGCCAGUGAUGCUAUAAAAUAUUUGCUACUCUUGAUGAAGGCAACACGUUGUUUUUCAAUUGAUGAUUGGUUAACCACCAAGAUCUCUGAGGCC